GCCUGGUUGGUCCAGUUGGUAGAACAUGAGACUCCUGAUCUUGGGGUCGUGAGUUUGAGCCCAUAUUGGGUG
rnacentral:tRNA from 1 species